rnacentral:rRNA from 1 species
AUUGAACGCUGGCGGCAUGCCUUACACAUGCAAGUCGAACGGUAACGGGCCUUCGGGUGCCGACGAGUGGCGAACGGGUGAGUAAUGUAUCGGAACGUACCUUUCAGUGGGGGAUAACGUAGCGAAAGUUACGCUAAUACCGCAUAUUCUGUGCGCAGGAAAGCAGGGGAUCGCAAGACCUUGCGCUGAUUGAGCGGCCGAUAUCAGAUUAGCUAGUUGGUGAGGUAAAGGCUCACCAAGGCGACGAUCUGUAGCGGGUCUGAGAGGAUGAUCCGCCACACUGGAACUGAGACACGGUCCAGACUCCUACGGGAGGCAGCAGUGGGGAAUUUUGGACAAUGGGGGCAGCCCUGAUCCAGCCAUGCCGCGUGAGUGAAGAAGGCCUUCGGGUUGUAAAGCUCUUUCGGCCGGGAAGAAAUCGUAUCAGCUAAUACCUGGUGCGGAUGACGGUACCGGCAUAAGAAGCACCGGCUAACUACGUGCCAGCAGCCGCCGUAAAAC